GAUGAAGAACGCAGCGAAAUGCGAUACGUAAUGUGAAUUGCAGAAUUCAGUGAAUCAUCGAAUCUUUGAACGCAUAUUGCGCUCUUUGGUAUUCCGAAGAGCAUGCUUGUUUGAGUAUCAGUAAACACCUCAACCUCUUCUUGAUUUUUCAAAAGGAGGGUGGACUUGAGCUAUCCCAACAACCUUUACCGGUCGGCGGGCGGCUUGAAAUGCAGGUGCAGCUGGACUUUUAUCUGAGCUAAAAGCAUAUCUAUUUAGUCCUCGUCAAACAGGAUUAUUACUUUUGCUGCAGCUAACAUAAAGGAUAAUUGUCCUCUUUGCUGACUGAUGCAGGAUUUUACGACACUUUAUGUGUUGUUCAACUCGAUCUCAAAUCAAGCAAGACUACCCGCUGAACUUAAGCAUAUCAAUAAGCGGAGGA
rnacentral:misc_RNA from 1 species